UACGUAGGGGCAAGCGUUGUCCGGAAUCAUUGGGCGUAAAGCGCGUGUAGGCGGGUCGGUAAGUCCGCUCUGAAAAGCCCGGGCUCAACCCCGGGAGGCGGGUGGAUACUGUCGACCUCGAGUCCGGAAGAGGCGAGUUGGAAUUCCUGGGUGUAGCGGUGAAAAUGCGCAGAGUAUCAAGGAGGAACACCAAUGGCGAAGGCAGCUCGCUGGGACGGUAAGCUGACGCUGGAGACGCGAAAGCGUGGGGAGCAAACAGGA
rnacentral:rRNA from 1 species